CGCACAUUGCGCCCGGUGGUAUUCCGCCGGGCAUGCCUGUUCGAGCGUCAUUUAAACCAAUCCAGCCUCGUGCUUGGGUCUUGGGCCUUUCGCCUUUGGGCGGGCCUCAAAAUCAGUGGCGGUGCCCUCUGGCUCUAAGCGUAGUAAUACUCCUCGCUAUGGAUGUCAGGUGGUGUCUUGCCAGCAACCCCUAAUUUUUUUAAGGUUGACCUCGGAUCAGGUAGGGAUACCCGCUGAACUUAA
rnacentral:misc_RNA from 1 species